CGAAGGUGGCAAGCGUUGUUCGGAUUUACUGGGCGUACAGGGAGCGUAGGCGGUUGGAUAAGCCCUCCGUGAAAUCUCCAGGCUUAACCUGGAAAGUGCAGAGGGGACUGUUCAGCUAGAGGAUGGGAGAGGAGCGCGGAAUUCCCGGUGUAGCGGUGAAAUGCGUAGAGAUCGGGAGGAAGGCCGGUGGCGAAGGCGGCGCUCUAGAACAUUUCUGACGCUGAGGCUCGAAAGCGUGGGGAGCAAACAGGAUUAGAUACCCUGGUAGUCCACGCCUUAAACGAUGGAUACUAAGUGUCGGCGGGUUACCGCCGGUGCCGCAGCUAACGCAGUAAGUAUCCCGCCUGGGAAGUACGGCCGCAAGGUUG
rnacentral:rRNA from 1 species